UACGUAGGGUGCGAGCGUUAAUCGGAAUUACUGGGCGUAAAGCGUGCGCAGGCGGUCUGUUAAGACCGAUGUGAAAUCCCCGGGCUUAACCUGGGAACUGCAUUGGUGACUGGCAGGCUUUGAGUGUGGCAGAGGGAGGUAGAAUUCCACGUGUAGCAGUGAAAUGCGUAGAGAUGUGGAGGAAUACCGAUGGCGAAGGCAGCCUCCUGGGCCAACACUGACGCUCAUGCACGAAGCGUGGGAGCAA
rnacentral:rRNA from 1 species